CGCCACACAGCUCACAUGUGCUAGCAACACCAAGAGGAUUGCUAGCACAUUUGAGCUGUGUGGCAUCCUUAGCUCUUAUCGUGUCACAUCAAUUAUUUGAAAUAUUUUUUUUUAUUUAUCUAAUAUCUCCCUAAUUUUUUUUUUCCAGAGAUUUGAUUAUUUUUCCUAUAUAACUUCUUAUGGAAAAUGCCCCCUCCAUCAUGAUUUUCUUUGCAAGGUCAUUAAGCAUAUCAUAACGAAUGACAACUGUGCCAUAAAUGAAAAAUAUUAUAGAACUCAAUAUAAAGGGGUAUCCAUCUCAAACUAGAGUUGGAGAGAAAAUUCAACAUUCUUCAACUUUAUAUUUUUUGUUUUCUUAUCGAGAGCUAUGACAUGUAUUUCUCUAAAUACUAAUUAAGUUCAAAAGCUUAAAUUCUGGCCCUAGCUCAUUGAGAAAUGGCAAAGGGAGUAGUACAAGGUAGAUCAUCAGUUUUAGUCUUAAGAGCUAGAUCAGUCGUGUGCCUCUAAAGGAGUUAAAGAUAUUCAAAAAAAUGAUGGUAUCUACCAUAAGGAGAGUUCAAAGCAAAACUUUGUACUCAAUAGCCAAUAACCCUAAAUAUAAAAAUGCUACAUUGGCUUGGCAACCUAUUCAUCAUUGGAUAAUACCCUUUUGGGUUUAAAGGCGAGAGAUGAGAUCCACCACAUCAAAUGGUGAACACCAGGGAUACAUGAUGCUCAUUCAAAUUGGCUUUGCUCGGGUAAGUCAAUUUGAUUGGUCUUUGAUACCAUGCAUGAUUAUUUAUAUUCAUUUUUUUUUUUUUGAUUAAUUGGUAUUUCUAUUUUCUAUUUCUAAUGAAGUAAAAUAAAAAUAACCAUACCUGGCAUAGUAGUGAUGAUAUCAUGCACACUCUUUUUUCUUAAUCAUAGCACAAUAAAUUGAUUCUUUUUAAGCUUGGAACUGUAGGACCCUAGGCAAUCUUUUCAAAAAUAUACUUAUCAAGAAAAAGGGAGAAAAAAAGACAUGGGUGGAGGCAUAUCAAACUAACCCUUGAAUCCUUAGGCUAUUUCGAUCUCUUGACCACUAAGUUGCAACAUUCGUACCUUACCGUUAGACCAAGCAUGUGCCUCUGAAACAAUUCCAAUAUCAUUUGCCAUUGUUGAUUUAGGGUUAUACCAUUGUGACUCAAAUCUAAUUCAACUUGUCACAAGUACUAGCCAGUCCAAUCCAACCUUGAUUUUCCACCAAUAUAUUUUUUUCCCCUGCUUUUUGUAGAACGAGUUUAGUACAAAGUUUUAGUUUCAGGUGAGACAAAAUUGAAAUAAAAAAUAUUUCACGAGUUUGAAUUUUUUUUUCGUUAAAAUUUCAGAAUACUUUUGAGCCUUUUAAAAGUUUCAGAAUAUAUAAUUUGAUCUAAUUAUUUUAUCCAGGUGUGACCCACACUGAAGCAUAGUGAAACUCUAGCUUCAGUCAAAGUGAGGGUGUAACCCAAAUUGAAGGAAACUUAAAAGAAAAUGAGGAACAUGGGGUUCGAUUUGGCCAUCCUCAACAUGGUAGAUACCUAUAUCACAAGGCUUACUUGUUUGAGGAUGUAAAUCAUUUGUAAAGUAAAUAGAAUUAUUGUGUACUCCCGGGCUCUCAAUAGUUGAGCUUUUCAUUGUGGUUUUCUUCCAAUUUGUAUAAUAGAAAUUUGAAGGUUAUAUAUCGGUAACUAUUUUUCUCUUUUAUAUGUAUUUAUAAUUUUUAUCUAUUGUCUUAAGUGUUAAAAUACUGACUUGGAGUAAACAUUUUUAUGUUUUCCAGAGUAUACAUAGCCCAAAGAGUCAAUGAAGGCACAACUUUCAGAAGAAAAAAGAUGGUCAAGAACUCUGAAAUAGAUCUCUGAAUGGUUUUGCCACAAAAGUUUGAAGGAUAGAGAAGUAAAAGAGGAAGCAUGUGCCAAUGGAAGACAAGAUCUUUCAAGUGAUGUUAUACAGGAGCAUGCAUUGAAAUGGGCUUAGGCAGGAUAAAUGAUACAGACAUCACAGGACAUUAUGGUACAGUGGAUGUGGUCAUAUCUUUAGGAAGUAGCUCAACGUCAUGGGACAUGUUACUUCAUUUUAGAAGGGACCCAUAUGGUAUUGAACCUUCAAGAUACCAUUUAUUUAUGGAAUAGUAACUAUAUCUUGAUGUAUCAGAGGAAGGGAGGAGUGUGCAGAACAGAAGAUAUAAGAUGGCAUCAAGAUAUUUCAUGGUAGUACAUGUUGGUGUUCUUCGAUGAUCAUAUUGGAAUAUAUGUUGUAAUUUGACUGUGUCCAAGUGUUAGAGAGAGAGAGAAGGAAUGAGAAGUGGGGUGAGAGAGAAAAAUAGUUUUGGGGUAUUGAAAGACUCUUGUUGUACAGGGUUUAGAUCGAUUUCCUUAGUUACCUAUUGUAACUAUCCAAUUUUAUUAAUUCCUUGUAUAUCUAAACUCCUAUCACACGUGAUAUGUUGUUAUCCUUCCUUAAGUAGGAAGGUGUAGUCUGUAUUAUUUUAAAUCAAAUAAAGUCCAAAGUUCGAUUGAA